GAAGUCAAAUACUUUCUCGUCUCUGGGCCCUGGUGGCCUAUGUGGCAUUGCUGGUGCUGGUAGCAUUUGUUCAGGCUAAUAGUAAACUCGGUAGCAUUUUUGUGAUCUUGUUUGGGUAUGCUUAGAUAACAGCAAAUGGCUUUACUUGGGAACUAAUGGAUUGGAUGGUCAGAGUUAAUGUUUUCCGUGUUUCCUGCAACACUGAAACUCAGGAACACUUAAUAAGCCUUCUUGAGACUUCAUGCACAGAAUGAUUUGAUUUGUAGUUAAGUGGUAGACUGCAAAUUCUCACUAAGUUUUUAGAUUAUAUUGUCAGUGCACAUUUGUGCCGCUUUGGUAUCUGCCACUGAGGUCAUAUGUCAGAGUAUUGACUUUCAUUUGAGCUGGAAAUUGACAAGUAUUGUGAUGUCAGGGUGAUCUUCCCCAUGUUCUGCAGGUGCCUGCAGUUGGCAGUGAUAUAAUGGAACUUACAUGAUCACUUAUCUAAAGACAUACUGAAGAACUCUUCUGUCUGGUUUAGGCUGAACCCUUUGAGAAGGAAGCAGCAGCUUGGUGGCUGAAAUAGCUGGCUGGCCUAGGAAGCACGUAUAUGUCCUGUGAAGUGGAUUUAGCAUUGGCCAGGUGUUGCAUGUGUGUUCAGGGAUGCCCUUCAAGGAAGCCACUACUAUUGCUAAGCACCUGCAAAGCUGGUCCCAGCAGCUAUUGAAAAGUACCCAUCUGGCACAUAGCCAUAUGGAUACUUAACUCCUGUCCUUUAAAGGACAAGAAAAUGAUAUUUCUUCAAGAAGAACAAGAACUGAUCUGUCUUUCCUUUGUGCUUUGGAAGGACCCUGUGAGUCAUCCUGGGGAGAGAGAAAGGCAUCUCCGUGUCAGUUAUAUUAGGAGAAUUUCUGGGAAGGAUGAGUGAAAAGCCAGUAUAGGUUAGAAAUCAAGUUACCUUUCAUCUUUGAGACUUCGCAUUUUUUGUAGAAAAUAAAAAAGAAAAUAUAUGAGAAAGGUAUAAAUGCUGAAAAGCUGGUUUUGUUUGAAAAUUUUAGAAGAUCUUACUUUGGGACAUGAUCAACCUGAUUUAAGAAUGUACUUAAAAUUGAAAACAAACAAAAAACGACUGAAAAACAAAACCCCAAGCAGCAUUGUGAAUAGUUUAGGUCUGGUUUUCUUGUCAGAGAAAUAGUAAUCUCUGCUCUGGCUGACUCUAUAUCUCUGGAGGAGUGGUUUCUCAUGCUGAAAAUGUGGAAUAUAUUGGCAGAAGUAUAGCACUUAAAAUAAUUUGUGUGACCUUUGAUGUCUGUGUGUGUUCUCUCCCUGAAGAAAGCUGUGUUCUUCAUGAUAGCUUCAUUGUGAAUCCUGAAAUGAUGUUAAAUGGAGUAGCAAAGCAAAAGCUCUGUUAAUGCACCCUGCUUUCUUCUAUGCAAAUAUAUAAGAGCAUCAGAACUUCAGCUUUUAUAGAUCAGAAAAUCAACUGACAUUUCAGGCAUUCUUAAAAGGAAUGCCAGAUGAAAAUACUCCAACUGCAGAGUUGUUGCUUAUCAUGCUGGAAAAUGAGGGUAACAUUUGAAGGUCCUUAGAGGUCAAGUCCAGUCUUUCUUAUCACUGGCACCUUGCUGCAUAAUCCCUUUCAAAGAUUUAGUGGCUGGAGGAGAAGUUUAGCAGGCGAGCCUGGAAUGCCCAAGCUGAUCUGGAGCCUGACUUUGGCAAAUCAGGUAAUGUUACUUCUGCCUCAUUUAGCUAUUCUAUUUCCCAUCUGAGUCACAGAGUUCUCGGGGCUCUUUAGUGUCUGAGUCUGACCAGUUGAUUUACCAUUCACAAAAAAAUUCUGUGACCAUUUGUUUGGACUCAAAGAAAUUGAUGAUACGGUAAUUGAUAGGUAUGGGUGAUGGGUUGUCAUGGAAGAGGUUGUGGCUUUUGAAGCUCAGGAUCUGGUGUGGAUUCCAUAGAGCCUGACUCAGGUCCCAGCAAGCCCUUUCUCCAGGAGUUGAUGCAGCCCAGAAAGGUUGUUUGUUACGCUUAAUGAGUGAGGUUGAAGAAUUUGCUCCAGUGUUCUCCCUCCAUGAACUUUAAGGUAUAAGGACUUUAACCCACUGGAGGAUGUGACUUUCUGCACUGUCAUCCAGGAUACAGACUUAGGACAGGGAAGCAAGAACCAGGACACAUCUCACAGGUGUUAUAUUAUAUCCCUAUCUCAUUCACCUCCUUCACUUCCCAUCUUUCUCUCCAUUAAACAUGGCACCAAACCCAGGUUGUUUCAGAAAUUGUGCAUACCAAGGUUUGCUGAAAAUGUGAUUCACUUCCUAACCAUUCUGGGCUGCUUGUAUUUUUAUGUCAGAGGGAACAUUUCACUUUUCCUAUAAAAUGGCUGCAAAAGUUUUAUAGAAACCUCAGUGCCUGCUUUUUCUACAUGCAAAUAGGGAAACUUGAUAAUCCAGUUUUGAUCCUGUGCUCAUUAGUGAUGCUUUAUUUUGUAAAUCUUGUAACUCUGUUAGAGUAAUUGUUAUAGUAAAAGACUUUGGGUGAGUUAAUUUAAAUACCAUACUGUAUUCUUCAUCAGAUUUUAUGGCGCUUUAAUUAUAGGAACUCUAAUGAGAUUAGUAGCCAUGAGUAAAUCAGAAGGGAUGGUUGGGGGUGGGGAGGGACUGCAUCUGACAGUGUUUUGUGCAUGGUUAACUUUGGUGGGACAAGAAUUCUGCUUUCUUCUGAGCAUGAAAUGUGUAGAUCAUCCUCCCUCUGCUCAGGACCUCAGUCUUUCUCUCUCUGUGACCUGAGUUUUUGGGGUUUUUUUUUUUGACCCCUCUCUGUGCAGAAUUUUUUUUCUGAAAGAACUGGAGAAAAAAAGCUGCUGACAGUUACAGUCAGGAUUUUUGUGGGGAAUGUGGUUAUAAACCUGCAUAGUGAAGAGGAAAAUUGAGGAGCAGUCUGCAUCACAUAAAACUAGUACUAGCUUGGAGCUGGAGGGCCUUGACACCUGUGUCUCGUCAGGUGUCUGAUGGUAUGAUAUAGAUCAUACAUCUUCAAAGCUGUAGUCUGCUGAUGAAAACCAGCCAGCAGAUAUGUAGGCACCAAGUGCUGAAUCAUCUGAUGGUUAAUGAGCUGCUUGUGCCCUGAGUCAAACCAGAGCUCGGAAAGGCCACUGUCAUUCAGUGCAGAAGCAGCUCUGUGUUUGCAAGGGUAAUUAAUCUAAAACCUUGCUCUAACACCAGCUCCCGAGUUGCUCGGACAGCUGCCCACUGCCUACCAGGAGAUGAUGGCAGGGUGAGCAACCACCCCUCCAGAAAGAAUGCAGAAGUUUCCAAAGGAGGAAGAGAGGUGCAGGAGGAGAAAAGAACCUGCUGGUUUACAGGCUUUCUAAACCAAAUCAGCAGCUUCAGCUGCUGUAAGCUGGCUGUGUUCCCGAGGAGACAAGGCAGAUAGACUUGGUCCAUCAGAUGCAAGCAGCCUACAAGCUGCUGGAGCACCUAAACUACUUCUCUGACAUUUUCAGCAAGUGACUUCUGAAAGUCUAUCGUGUCUCCUGAUGUGUUGUAUACAGUACCAGCAUCAAAAUGCUGCUGCGUACGCAGAUAUCACAAUGCAGGAUGAUACCAAAGUACCUCUAAGAUUGUGAGAGUUAGUCUUUCAACUUGACAAGAUACAUGGCAGACUUCAAGACCAUCUUACAUGUGUCUUGGUGAAUCCAGUUUGUGCCAGAACUUAAGUUUGGAACAGUUUACAAAAUCCAGCACUGAUGAAGAUGCUUUGAAAAUCAUUUGAAAGAAAACUAGUUUUGAGCAAUGAUCUUGAAUUAUAGUACUGCCUAGUUACCCCACUGUGUGUAGGCCUAGGUACUCUGUCAGCAUAUGAGCACUGCAUGUGGUAUAUUUGUUCCCUGUGCAGGAGUAGCUUCAAGCUCACUCUACGUGGCUAGCUAUGACUUCCUCUUGUUUGGAUAAGUCUUUGGCAGGUGUAGAGGUGGAAUUGUGGCUGUUAUUUCUUAGCCAUGCUGUUACGAAGUGAAGCAUGAGAGUGGCUCUUCUUACAGCAAAGAACAUUUUCAGUAAAACUCUGAGAUCUAAGAUACUGAGAAUAGAAAACAUGGUGUCAUGUUUGAACAGUUGCAGGAAGGGUUUUGCUGAUGGAAAAAGGCCCGAGUUCCUGAGGGGAAGAUAAGUGGCAUCAUUAAAUUGUUGAUGUUGAUAGCAAGUGGUAAGGGUAAAUGGCACGUCCAGUGGUGAUACCAUGAGUUGGCUGAUGUUGAUAGUGAAGUUGAUUGAGGUAUAAAGUUUUCCUAUGAAUGGGAAAUUGCAGCGGGAGAUGGAGAACCAGUUUUGGUGUAGCUGGGGCUGAGGCCUAAUUAUGAAAAUGUGUUAUUUCUAUGAAGCAGAAGCCCUCCUUGUCAGCUGUCUUUCACAGCCAGUGUGUUGCACCUCGCUGGUCUGUGGGUGGUGUUGGCAUUGGAGACCACAGGCAGGCUGAGCCAUAAGGAGAUUAUCUGCUGCAUGCCCUCCCUCCCACUGCUCCUACCAGCUGUUCAGAGGCGCCACCAGGCACAGGUAUGGAAUCAGUCCAGGGAAUGUAAAAUGAGUUGAAAACUGAACUGUUGGUGUGCAGUUGCUCAAACAAAAAGAAAUGAAGGAGUUAAAUGAGGGUUGUGAAGGCCUUCAGCUCACCUCUGCCCCAUAGCUGCUUCUCCACCCAGAGCAACUGUUCUUCCAACUGCUCUGGAGCCUCUUGGCCCUUCAUUCCUCUUUUCUUCUUGUACAAAUAUCUUGCUUCCUGCUGUCUAAACCAGCCAGGCUUGAAUAAAGUGUCAAUGGCCAGGAUGUCAGUACAUUGUCAAAAUGAUUAAGAGGUGUAAGGGAUGUAAUUUCUUUAAAAGAAUUCAAACUGGAGGCUUCCCCCUAAAGAAGUACAUUACUUACCCACCCAGGUUUAUCUGUCUUUAUGCCUCAUCUGCUUGUGCUUAUGUUUCUCUUGCUCCUUUUUUAAAGUACUUUCUUGAUUAAUUAUAUUUUAAAAGUAAAAAAAAAAUUCUUGUCUAUAUGAUUUUAUUAGCCAAAUACUAUUUUGUAUUUGGCUAAUACACAAAAAAGAUGCUUAAAAAUUUGUCACUAGAAAAAGUGACAAAUUUGCCUAUUGGUGAAGAGCUUAUUUAAUUUUUGAGUCCAUUUUUAAGUACUUGAAAAAUUUUGGUAAGGCAAAGAAAUUAAUUUUACUUGGAAGUUAAAAAUUAGAGUGAAACAUUAAAGACUUUACUCAGAAGAAAAUUUUAUGGAUUUCAGUGUGGAAGGUCAGAAGUUUAACAGUAGUUUAGACUGGAUUUGGAAUUAAAUCUGAAAUGGCUUAGAUUCCAUGUUCAAAUCCACAUUUACCUUAGAUGCUACCUCACUGCUUCAAAUCGAGAUUGAUGUAUGUUUUAGUUGACAACCUUGUUGGGAUGUGCUGUUACUCUUAUUUAAUUGUGAGAAAGGCUGUGCAGUUUCUACAUUAGAAUUCCAUGAAAAGGUAAAGAAAUUUCCAAGUCUAUCACACUUACAUUUCCUUACGAUCUUGCUAAGUAGACCACAGAGGACUAAUUUUCCCCAGUGAUGUUUUUAUUAAGUACAGCACAAACAAUAUAAGACUUUGUACUGGAAAACAGAAGGGGCAAGGUUUUAUUUUCUCAAACUUAGUCAUUGUGAUGCCAUUAUGUGUUGUUUUCUACCACUAACAUGAUAUGGAUGGCGGCAAAGGUGGGUGCCUCUCUGCUUUAUUUGGUUUGGCUUCCUGAUCUUGUAGGAAUGGUGGUGUAUCAGUUUCGGGGUCUGGGAUGGGGAUCUGAGUGACUCUAUCCCUUUAGCUUGUAGGAAAGGGAAGUCCUAUCCAAGCUAUUUCAGCUGUGACAUGGCUCUUUGGGGCUGCUCACACAAUACAAGGAAGGAAGAAAAGGGAGAAGAAGAUUACUGGGAUGGGAAGGGCAUGAUGAUCAUGUAGGAAUUGGUUUGCACCAGAAGGUGGACUUGCUCAGGGUAAGCUUUCAUAAAACAAAAGGGAAUUGUGAAGACUGAUGGCCUUCAUGUAGGGUGGAUCCUUUGCCUCUGUUUAAAGCUGCAGAUGAAUACUGGCCAGUUAUUCUGGUAAAUGUUGGCCAGGAAGUGAAAUAGGACUACGUCUUUUUCUGGUUUCCUGUUGGAUGGAGGUAGGCAGGAAAUAAAUCUAGCUUUAAAAAAGAAAAAAUAGUAAGGAUUCUAAAUACAGUUUAAAGUAUAGAACUUCCAGGAAAAUAAUGGAUUAGUGUUUUACUGAGCUGCUGAAAGACUUAUAUACCCCAUUGGCAGCAGGGCGGGUGAAGUAGGUAGGUAAAGUGUCCCAUCUGUGACAUGAUUACAGAGUGCCUGUGAGGUGCCACUUCCCUGCAGAAGCAAAAAGAAUAGUGUCUUUCACUGUAGUCAGUACUACUGCUGCUGUAGGGGGGCAGAGAAAUGUGGGGAAGGGCUUCUUAACCUUUCAGCCAUUUUAAUGUUUUUCACUAUGAGCAUGUUUACUGGGGAGAGGGCAUCUUAUGUCUUUGCACUCCAGUGCAUCUGUGCAGUGCUGGGUAAAAUUUGUCCACUUAGAAGCCUCACAGGAGCAAGCAUAUAAAUUGUUCAGUGCUUUUUUACAUGUGUGUGCAGUUCAGUUGUGCAAUAGCUCAGAAACUCUGUUUAGUUAACUUUACGGCAUUAGCAUGCAGGUUAAAAAUGGGAAAGCAUGUGCAACUUCGGACUUUUUUGGAAUUGAUGGAGCUGCAAAAGAUCAAAGAUAGCCCACAGUAUGUAGAUACCUACUGUUGCAUACCAAGUACAAAAUGUACAUGUUAAUAUGUUUUUUUUGUGAUUAACUAAUCCAUAUGGAGGUUAGAAAAUUAUUUGUGAAGCACUGGAGUUCAGUCUAAAUGUUGUUUCUGUUAGACAUUUAUGCGUAUUAGCAUAUACAGAUGCACCUAGACCUCAAAGUGGCCAAAAUUAAAUACAGUAUUAAAAUCUGGAUAUUUCAAAGUACGCACAUGUGUGGUGGUCCCCAUUUGGCUUACAUAAGGGAAGUGGAAUUCAAGCAGACACAGAAAUAUUCACUCAUUUGUAUAAUGGAAAGUAAAUUCAGCCUUGCUUUUGUUGUAUUUCUCAGUAACAUUUAAAGAGUAAUUUUCAAACUUCUGAAGAUACCAGUUUUUUCAAGACAUUUUUUUGAGUUCUAACUUUAUUUUAAAUUAUUAGCAUCUUCCAAGUCAGUAAGAUAUUAAUCUUCCUUGCAGUGAGUUGCAGCUGUUGAUGAUAGACAUAGGCUGAGUGCUUUUGUCUCAGCAAAGUAGGUGUUUCGUGUCAAGGCUUGAUUUGUUGUUCUUUCAGUGAAAGCAACUCAUCAAAUCCUACCUGAAUUAUCCCAGUGUAAUGCUUCAUGAGACCCUCACCCAAGCCAUGAUAUGUAGUUAGACAAGGCCAGGCUAUCACUUCUGGUAAAUUAAGGAUUUAAAAUGAGUUCUGGGUCUCAUUCAUUCUAUUUUCUCUCCAUGACAAGAAAAGGAAACUUGUCUAAAGCUGAUUGGUAUACAGUGAUUUUAGCUAGCAGUGCUGCUUACCCCAGUCUGCUACUUGUUCCCUACUAUUUGUGCAUCAUUUGAUCCAUCACCAAAUGAAAAAAGAUCUGGUUUAAAAAGUAACCUUUCACAGUCAUUUUUUGCUUCUUUUAGUCUUACCAAGUUUCUAAUUGUGUUAUGCACAAUAUACAAAUGUUUAUUUCACCAUAACAUGUGAAUAAAGUGCUAAGCUGAGCAGUUUAUUUUGGCAACUGUGGCAUCCUGUCAAACCAAAACAUUUGAAAAUGACAUGUUCACAAAGGUGGCAAAUAGGGGUUUUCAUUGGAGCCCGAUGAAAUCAAAACUGCAAUUUGGUCCUUUUGCUGCAUCAUUUCCUCUUUCACAAUCCAGACGGAAGUUACAGCUUAUCCAGCGCCUGAAGGUGCAUCUGCACCCACAGCUCUUGGACCAGCAGGGUCCAGGGAGUUACUCAAGCUGCUCACAGCUCUGAGGUGCCCAGUCAAGCCCAGACUGGUACCCACUGGUCCUGUCUCCACUGCCUGUGGCAUCAUUACAUAUGAGCUUUCAACUAGCUGAAUUCUAAAGCAUCCUCAUGUAUUUUGUAACAUAGAUUUUUCUGGAGAUAGUCUUACAAGUGAAAUUUUUGAUGUGAGUAGCAUUGCAAAUGAGCAACCUCUCUCUUGAUCUAGCUUGUUUCAACAGCUUUAGUUUGCUGCAGCCAAGCAAUGCCAACUAUGGUUGUUGUUUUCUUGAGAGAAAUGUUUUUCUGCACCACAGCGCUCUCAAAGGAAGUUUCUUGUUGUUACUAAUCUAUUUGAAUAACAAGUGAAAAGACUUGUUAAUUUAAGCACAACUUAAAAUUAUAGAAGAAUUUCGGGGUUUUAUUGUGUGGGUUAUGUUGUGGUUUGUUUGGAUUUUUUGUUCUGCAAAGACACAAAAUACAUAUUGGUAUUGAAUGACAUUUAAAAACGUACAACAGAGCAACGUAUGGCAUUGUCAUGGAAGAACUAGUAUGUGUAAUUAGAUUUUAAUAGUGGAGGUUCUUCUGAGCUUGGUCAUACAGUCUCUUGGUAUUAGUAAAAAACUUAAUGUUUCUGUUGAAGAACACAACCAAAAUAAUGACUAUUCCAGCAUAUUCUUUUCCACUCUAAUUGGUUUUCUAUGUUUCUGCAGGUGUACUGCUUUUGACCCAUAAGAAUUUUAAGCAUCUUUUUAAAAUUAAUCUAGAUUUUUAGAAAAGUUCUAGCAUGUGCACUGGGCUGUGACUACAGCUUUCACAGGCUAGAACCAUGUCUUUUAAUGAACAGCUUUGAGAUGUUUGGAGAAAGGAGAAGAGUCCCAUGUCAUUGCAUCAGUUAUGAACUGGCACCUGAUGAUAAAUUUUAUGAUACUAGCUUAUAAUUUUGCUUCUUUAUUGAGUUUCCAUGUAGGAGAAUUUUAUCUAUCCUUAUGGUGAAAAGGAGCAAGGAAGAGAUCUUUGAUUAUUUUUAUUUUUCAAGUACGAGCUUGUCCAGCUGUUGGAAUGUGAGUAGGAUACAGCAGAUCUGGGUGAAUGAUGGCAGAUGAUGUACAUGGCUGGUAAUGAUGAAAUCACUGAAAAUCUGAAUGCAAUUUGAGGCUCUAGUACAGAGAGGAGAGCAGUGAGGCACUUGUAUCUGGUGAGGCUUCGUUUGGAGUGUCGGGUGUUGUUGGUUGAUGCUGGCCGGAUGCCAGACACCCACCAAAGCCUCUCUCUGUUUCACCUCCACAGCUGGACAGGAGAGAGAAAAUGCUUGGGGUUCAUGGGUUGAGAUAAGGACAGAGAAAUCGCUCACCAAAUACCAUCAUGGGAAAAGCUGAAUCAGAUUAGAGGUAUUAAUUAAAUUUAUUGCUAACAAAAUCAGAGCAGGAUAAUGAGAACUAAAAUAAAUUAAGACCCUAUCUCCCCUCCCUCCUUCGUAGCUCCACCUCCUACACCCGGGUGCUAGGAGAGACGGGAAAUGGGGAUUAUGGUCAGUUCAUCGCAUCAGGAGUUUCUCCUGCUGCUCAGGGUGAGGAGUCCUUCCCCUGCGGCACCGUGGGGUCCCUCCCACAGGAGACAGUUCUCUACAAACUUCUCCAAUUUGAGUCCAUCUCACAGGCAACAAUCCUCCUCAAACUGCUGCAGCAUGGGCCCCUCUCUCCAUGGGUCUCCCAUCAGGUUACAGCCUCUGCUCAGGCAUCCCCCUGCUCCAGCGUGGAUCUCCUCCGUGGGCUGCAGGUGGAUUUCUGCAUCGCUGUGGAACUGCGUGGGCUGCAGGGGCACAGCUGCCCCACCGUGGGCUGCACUGUGGGCUGCAGAGAAGUCCCAGCUCUGGUGCCUGGAGCACCUCCUGCCUCUCCUUCUGCACUGACCUUGGUGUCUGCAGGGCUGUUCUUCCACAUAUUCUCACUCUGCUCUUCUCUGGUCACAGCUGCACAGCAACUUUUUUUUUUGUCUUGUUUGAAUCUGUUACCCCAGAGGUGUUUAUCACCAUUUCUGAUGGGCCCAGCCUUGGCAAGUGGCACGUCCGUCUUUAGAGCCACCAGAGACUGGCUCUGCCGGACAUGGAGGAAGGUUCUGGCAGCUUCUCACAGAGGCCACUCCUGUAAUCCCUCCCCCACCCACCACCCUCACAAACCAGGUGAUGUAACCCAAAUAAAUUUCGUUUAAGAAAAAUGGAACCAAGGAGGACUGCAAGGAGAAAAAAGCUGUUGUGCAGAUGCAGAACUCUUUACUUGAGCAUAAGCAGAACUGGAAGAAGAAAUAACUUUUCUGUCUAAAUGCAAGAGGUUGUAAUUUGGGUAGGUGCUUGUGAAGAAUUUUUGGCACAACACAAAACUAAAAAUUGCAAUGAAUUGCUAGAAAUCAGUAUGAGCCUCUAUUGGGAGCAUCUUUCCAGUCUCUAAAAUCAGGAAGAAAAAUGUGGUAUCAGCCAGCACCUUCAGUACUCUCAAAAGAAAGCUUUCCGUGUGCCGCCGCUGUGUGCUGAGUUUGGCCCAGUUGGAUGGUAAGGCUGCCUGUGCUUCUCAGUGCACUGUUGAGAAGCUGGAGUCCAAUGAGGAAACGGUAGAAGAGUUUUAUUGUCUGGAGCUACUUUUUUCUUGACCAUUGGAAACAGCAAAAUGCUUUGUAAUGCCCAAUGGGUACCUGCUUGCAGCAGUCUUCAAAUAGUGCUCUGUAUCUGGCAUUGUUUUGUUUGUAUGGAAGGUAAAGUCAAGCAUCUCACUCUGGUUUUAGGAGAAAUAACUCUCACUUUUCAAACCUGACUUUUUGAGGCAGUUUCUGAUUAGACAGUUCUGGCUGAAUCAGAGCAAUUUCCAAGCAAUUCUUUCUCUCUGCUGGCAGAGGAGAGACUGCAUUGGUGUUACCCGAGUUGACCUAGGCUGUAGAGGAUGCCUUUGUGAAAUAACUCUCCAAGGGAAUGCAUGCAGGCUGUUGUAUAAAGAAACUUGUGAGAGAGAACAUUCAGCAAAGACCAGUGAUUGUUUUAGUUUCCACUGAUUGCUUUUACAUUAAAACAAUGAACAGAACAGAUGGUUAAGGUGGAGGAGCUAUGUAACAUUGAAAAACAAUCUCUGAAGUCAUGUGGUUUGGGCGUGGGGUGUGUUUUGAAAAAGUAAUUUUUUGUGAAACUAACUGUUACCACCUGGGCAAAUUUGCUGUAAAUUACUGGAAGGAAGUAGCUGGUUGUUGAAUGUCCUUGUCUUUCUGCUAGUUAACUCUGUGCUUCAGUUGACAGGCUGCAGCAUUAUCAUUCUGGAUUUAUCUCCUGGUAUUUCAUUGUUGUUUUCUAUUUUUCUCCUUUUUUUUUUCCCUUCUAAUUUUUAAUACCAAUAUCUGUCAAGUUUGGUGAAAAGAUUUUGGCAUUCUUAGAGUACUUAUCUUGGCUGCCAGGUAGUCCUUUGGAAGCUCAGGGUGCUUGCAGGGUGAUUUACUGGGGAUUAUGGUGAAUCCAUCUUGGCUGCAUGCCUGACCUGGUGUACAUAGGGAGGACUUUGCUGCUGAGAUGCAAUAAACAUUGAGUUUCUGUACUUGUCGUGAAAUACAUCUGCAAACUAUCUAGAUGAACUUGUUGAAGCUGUUGUGCUCUUUAUAGCUGCUUUAUGUAGAAGCUGGAUCUGCAGGGAAAAUGAAUAAAUAUUGUACAGAGUUAGAGACUCAGUAGCCGUGCAUACAUUCCUUAUGUUUUUAAUGUUCUGUAUAUGUUUGCACCUUUGAAGACUGUGCAGCAUGAAAGAAUUUUUUUUAUUCGGUUCUUGUUAAGUUUACACUAGACUAAACUGGUCUCCAGCAGGGUUAUAUCACUUCAUGUCUCUGAGCUUACCAGGGAAGUCUGUCUAGAAAGAUUUAAUGCAAGCACUGAUAGAUGCAAAUUUUGACUCUGCAAUCACCAGUUGGAUCACAACAAGCCUACUUCUGGAUUUGAACGAAGCUUGCACAAACAUGAAAACUGACAUAUGCUGACACCAACAGGCAUUGAAACAUUGAAAAUAUUUUUGAGAGUUGUAUGGUUUUAAUGGAUUUCUUCAUAUGUGUAAGCCAUGGUGGAAAAACUGAUGGGAACUCUCUCUGGAAAAAGAAGUAAAUGCCUGGCUGGUACAUGCUUUGGGUGGGUUAUAAAACCUUUAUUUAUGGCAGGAAGUUGAGCUUCUUCAAAGAUAAGUGCUUAUCUAGUGAGUGCUGUAAAGAUCCUGGAGAGUGACCUCUGUUCUCACCAGCUUCCAACUUUUGCUCUCUUUCCUCUUCCCUUUCCUGGAUAAGUUUCCUUUCCCCUGUCAGGAGCUUUUUAAAAUGCAGUUUCCUUUUCACAGCGAUUCUUUUGCAUAUGGUGUUUGUAGUAGCACUCUGAAAAGGUUUAUAGAAUUGAAGACAAACUUGGUCACAUUGUAGAUAGUUCAUUAGUGCCAUUCAACUGAAAAAUUACUCAAUUUUCAACUUUUCUUAUUUCUGUUGUCUUGAAGUCUUUGCUUUGCUUUUCUUCCUGGCAGUGUUUAAUUGACUAGGAGAGAGACAUCCUUGCAGGAGGAUCUGAUUAUAUGUCACAUCCUUUUGUCUGAUGAAAGCUUUAGAGCAGGUAGUGGAUUUCCAUGAGAGCUGUCCAUACUUUGCACUGCUGUCAUCACUCUGUUGUGUUUAGCUAAGACACUUAAGACAAGGUUGAACCUUCAUGACAGAUCAUUUACAGCUGGCUUCUCUGUUCCUUGCUAUGGUGUACACUGCUGUGUUCAAAGCAGUGAAUGGUCAUGGGAAGUGGUGUUCCUUGUGGCUUGCAGAAGUUCUGGGCUAGCCUGUGUUACUCUGUUACUCAGCUGUGAUUCCAGCACACUGGUUUUGAAAGCAGAGCUCAAUAGCUUUAUGCUUCUAUUACACAAAUAGUUUUGGUUGCAAAGUGGAACGAUUGUGAAAUUUGGAAGUAGAAAAGCAUGUAGUAGUUAUCUUACUGUUGCACUGGUUUUUACCAUCUCCUUGAAGUAGCAGAAGAUACAUUUUGUUCUCCCUUUUCUUACCUGUCAAGCUCUGUAAGUAAGGAGAAGAGAAUGGAAUAACCAUGAGAUUAAGACUUCAUUUAUCUUUUCCUUCCUUUUUUCCUCCUUCUCUCUUUCUCUUUGAACAGCAUUUGGUUGGGGUGGGAGGGCAUUGGGAUAAAGAUCUAAUCUUUCUGAAGCAGUAGAGUUCCUGUGUGUGAUGUCACAAGAGACAGCUUUACUCCAAUUGCACCUUUAUUGUUUCAGUUAAACCUGUAUUGUACUGUGUUGGAUGGACUAAGAGGUGUUUUAAUGCCAUGUAGGUGUCCAAAUGUCCUUGUGCAGGAAGUGACUAAUAUAGCUGGGCAGGUAGGGCUGCACUAAUGAGACAGAAAACAAAGGGCUUUUUUUAAUAACAGAGAAGCUCUCACUAUCCAACUUACAGAACACAUCACAUGGCAUUAAGAAGUUUAGUGUUGUUUUGGCAUACUGUUGCUUUCACUACUUAUUCACAAUUUGGAAAUUUUUUGGGGAGUGUAGAUUUUAGAGAAAUUAUCUGCAUAUACUAUGUCUUAGGUUGUAUAACAGAUAAAUUAGUUGUGCUAAUACUACAUGAUGCAAACCCAAGCAAACAAGUGAGAGCAGUUCAGUCAUACUUGUCCUGUGGUGACCUCAGUGAAAAAUCCUUGGAAUCAUGCCUAAUUGCAGGUCCAGUUCAAACUACUUUAAAAACCAGUUUUGCGUUAACUCUUUGGGAAAAACAUGUUGCUUUUUGGUUCUGUUUCAUGUGAAAUUACUGCAAACUUAUGAAAUUCCAAGCUUCCCCCCCCCCCAAAAAAAAAAUUUGGGGAACUGGUACCUGAUUGUUGAAAUUUCCUUGAAUCUGUAAACACAGUAAUAAUAUGAAUAUGAUGAUAAUUAAACUCUCAUACUAAAGUUAAAUUGCAUCUCAUCUAAUGAAAGUGGAAAUAUAUACAUUUUGUAUAACUUCCUUUCUCCUUUCAUGUUCUCUUUUGGAUUUUUGUGUUUGAACUUCUGUUGUUAGGUCCUCUCUGCUCUCUGAAUUUGCACACCUCAGUAAAUGUAAAGUUCCUGUAAUAUAGGCAGAAUUGUGGUGCUCCCAUCUUUAGUGGAGUCUAAAUAAAAGUUCUAGUCUACUCUUGUGGACUUUUUUUGUUGCUUUUUAUUCCACUUUUCUGGUUAUAUCUCAAGCAGUUUCUGCAGGUUGACCAGGUUUUCUUGGCUAUAUUGCACUCAAAUUUGCAGUUUAAUGGGUCUUUCUAAGGAUCUCUUAAAAGUACUUCUGUUGUGUGAUAUUCAGUACUGCAUAUAUGCAGUUUGUCUAGUCUCAUGUAGGAUGUGAAUCCAAGGUCUUCCAUCCUAAGAUACUUGUCUGCUGUCAUAGCUAAGGAGGAAAAUCAUGUUAAAUCCCUUGAGAAUUCAGCAAGGGUAUCUUUAAGUUACUAAAAUUAUAAUUUUUGCAUCACAGGUGCAAUUUGUCUGCUGUUAGAAUUGAAGAGUCCUAACAGACUUCCAGAUUUUCUUGGUUUCUUCCAGAUGGAAAUGUUCCAUCCUACUUGAAUCUAAUUCUGAGCAUGAACUUUGGAGAAACCCACUUACCUGGUUGCUCCUGUGGC